GUGGGGAAUAUUGCACAAUGGGCGAAAGCCUGAUGCAGCAACGCCGCGUGAGGGACGACGGCCUUCGGGUUGUAAACCUCUUUUAGUAGGGAAGAAGCGAAAGUGACGGUACCUGCAGAAAAAGCACCGGCUAACUACGUGCCAGCAGCCGCGGUAAUACGUAGGGUGCAAGCGUUAUCCGGAAUUAUUGGGCGUAAAGAGCUCGUAGGCGUUCUGUCGCGUCUGCUGGGAAAACUGGAGGCUCAACAUCCAGCCUGCAGUGGGUACAGGCAGACUAGAGUGCGGUAGGGGAGAUUGGAAUUCCUGGUGUAGCGGUGGAAAGCGCAGAUAUCAGGAGGAACACCGAUGGCGAAGGCAGAUCUCUGGGCCGUAACUGACGCUGAGGAGCGAAAGCGUGGGGAGCGAACAGGAUUAGAAACCCUGGUAGUCC
rnacentral:rRNA from 1 species